UACUUUACGAGAUGGCGUUACAAAAAAUC
rnacentral:sRNA from 1 species